rnacentral:rRNA from 1 species
CCCUUAGAUGUUCUGGGCCGCACGCGCGCUACACUGAUGCAUUCAACAAGCCUAGCCUUGACCGAGAGGUCCGGGUAAUCUUUGAAACUGCAUCGUGAUGGGGCUAGAUUAUUGCAAUUAUUAAUCUUCAACGAGGAAUGCCUAGUAAGCGUGAUUCAUCAAAUCGCGUUGAUUACGUCCCUGCCCUUUGUACACACCGCCCGUCGCUCCUACCGAUUGAAUGUAUUGGUGAGGAGCUCGGAUUGGCAGCAGUUGGUGGUUCGCCACCGGCUAUUGCUGAGAAGUCCUCCAAACCGCCCCAUUUAGAGGAAGGAGAAGUCGUAACA